AAUACAGGAUACCUGGUUAAAUUCGAAUUUCUAAUAAAAAGUAAAUAUUUUUUUGAGUAUAAGUCUAUCCCAUGCAACAUUUGGGACAUACUUAUACCAAAACCUUUUUCAUUAUUUAUCUGAAAUUCAAAUUUAACUGGGCAUCCUAUAUUUU
rnacentral:miRNA from 1 species